CGGUCACUCUGACCAAAUCUGGUGGGUACACAAUUUAAAGGACAGGACGAGCGAAUUCUGGAAAAACAUUACAACAGCAUGAGCUCAUCGUGUUUGAUAAUGAUUAAUGGACAUAGUCGACGUGGAGGUUUACUUGCGCAUACACAUAUAGUAAGUUUAGAGUGAAUGGUGACGAUACAAGAAAGAAAAACCCCUGAGCUCCGUUUUAGUUGGUGCUUUUCCAAGGAAACGCUGGUGAGGAAUCCAGGGAAUGCGACUUCUCGGCAGAGAUCAAAAGGGUUGAACAUUAACUGAGCUGAACUCUUCAGCCCUCCAGUGCUGCUCCCAGGGACUGCUUCUCAAGUUCAAGGGUCCCGCAGGAGCCCUGUUGAAUGCUCAGUGUCAAUAACAGAUGCUGCAUUACAUUGCCCAAUUGCCCAGCUCCUGUUCUGGCACGACACCGGCUUCACUCCCCGUCAGCAAUCGGCCACAGCUGCCUGCAUCGGUCAUUUCAUUGUUGUUUAUUUAAACUAGCUAUGACAGAAGGUGUAAGCUAUGAAAUAUUUGUAUCUACUACUUGCAUAUUGUCCUGUUUUAAAUAUAUAAAACUACAAAGAUGUGUGUGUUACUUUCUUACUUACUAAAGUAAUGAGAAUUAAUAAAUUAACCAUUAACAUACACGGUUGAAUAGUUUGAAUUAUAGAUAAAGAUAGAUAAUUAUAGAAAACAGCUUUCUUAAGUGUUUUUUUUCCACUUAACUGAACAGAAUAGACAACUGUAUUACAGAUAUUCAUUGUAACUGUAUUAGAGAUUAUCAUUGUAACUGUAUUACAA